rnacentral:misc_RNA from 1 species
GAUGAAGAACGGCAGCGAAAUGCGAUAAGUAAUGUGAAUUGCAGAAUUCCGUGAAUCAUCGAAUCUUUGAACGCACAUUGCGCCCCCUGGUAUUCCGGGGGGCAUGCCUGUCCGAGCGUCAUUGCUGCCCUCAAGCACGGCUUGUGUGUUGGGCCUCCGUCCUCCUCCCGGGGGACGGGCCCGAAAGGCAGCGGCGGCACCGCGUCCGGUCCUCGAGCGUAUGGGGCUUCGUCACCCGCUCUUGUAGGCCCGGCCGGCGCUUGCCGACACAUCAAUCUUUUUUCCAGGUUGACCUCGGAUCAGGUAGGGAUACCCGCUGAACUUAAGCAUAUCAAUAAGCGGAGGA